AAACUCUACGUAAAAAAGAUAAAAUCGCCUAGGCUCGUCGAGCCGUCAUCGAUUUUCCUAUUUUCACAUUGAGUUU
rnacentral:ncRNA from 1 species